GACGAACGCUGGCGGCGUGCCUAACACAUGCAAGUCGAGCGGAGGAGCGCCUUCCUUGUUGCUCGGAGUGUAGGGGCGGCGGAGGGGGGAGUAAGACGUGAGCAAACCUCUACGUCCUGGAGGACAACCGCAAACAGGAGCUACUACUGCAGAAUAUUCUGGGCCGCUCGGUUCAUGAGUCUGAGACGGUCAUGGUGUCGGUUGGGGAUGGGCUCGCGGCCUAUCAGCUAGUUGGUGGGGUGAUGGCCUACCAAGGCGGUGACGCGUAGCCGACCUGAGAGGGUGGACGGCAACGCUGCGACGACGCCGCCGACCAGACUCCUGCGGGAGGCAGCAGUGGGGAAUAUUGCACGAUGGGCGCCCGGCUGAUGCAGCGCCGCCGCGUGGGGGAUGGAGUCCUUCUGGUUGUGAACCUCUUUCGCCAGUGAAGCAGGCCUGCCUCGUGUGUGGGUGGGUUGACGGUAGCUGGAUAAGAAGCGCCGGCUAACUACGUG
rnacentral:rRNA from 1 species